UUGAACUUUUCCAGAAGUGUGGUAGGGAGUGGUAGGGAAGUAAUUCUGAUCUAUGAUAGUCCCCAACCCAGGUCCCAAACCAUGUAGAGUUCCAGAAGCCACCCCCUUCAUCCUUUCUCAAAGAUUGAGAACAAGAAGAUAAGGACUGACGCUGCAGCAAGAAGGGCUGAGGCAGUGGGGACUCUGGCAAGCACUCAGCAGUGAGACUGGUAGCUGGAGAAGGAGCCCAAGACGAGCUGAAUUUGCCCCCUGGGGUAGGGGCCGGAAGCCACCCGUGGAAGCCUUCGCUUGCCCAGCAAGCAGCGAAGGAGAAAGUAUGGGGGAGGAAGGGAAGGGGGGAUAACAGUAACGAUGAACCGGGCAUCCUUUUCGGAUCCUCUACCCAUGUGUUCACUUCUCUGACGGUGCCCCAGAGGGGCAUAAGACUCACUUGAAGCGCUUCGUUAGAAAUGCACAUUCCUUGGUUUCAGCCCCACCCCCACUUCCAAAUUCUGACUUCAGUCCAUCUGGAACCAGCAAGAAGCAUGCACUUGAAAAAGGUCUCCAGCUUCUAACCGGGCCUGGCACGGAGUGACAGAGUGACAGACAGGAGACGUGCUGAGCCCUGACCCGCCUGAACUUGGAGGGACCCUGAACAAUUCGCCUGGAGACCUGACUGUAGCAGGAACAGACUC